rnacentral:rRNA from 1 species
CGCGGCCUAUCAGCUUGUUGGUGAGGUAACGGCCCACCAAGGCGACGACGGGUAGCUGGUCUGAGAGGACGACCAGCCACACUGGAACUGAGAUACGGUCCAGACUCCUACGGGAGGCAGCAGUGGGGAAUAUUGCACAAUGGGCGAAAGCCUGAUGCAGCGACGCCGCGUGAGGGAUGAAGGCCUUCGGGUUGUAAACCUCUUUCGGCAGGGACGAAGCGAUCAGUGACGGUACCUGCAGAAGAAGCCCCGGCUAACUACGUGCCAGCAGCCGCGGUAAGACGUAGGGGGCGAGCGUUGUCCGGAUUCAUUGGGCGUAAAGCGCGCGUAGGCGGCUGCGCAAGUCGGGUGUGAAACCCCGGGGCUCAACCCCGGAACUGCAUCCGAUACUGCGUGGCUAGAGGUAGGUAGGGGAGAUCGGAAUUCCUGGUGUAGCGGUGAAAUGCGCAGAUAUCAGGAGGAACACCGGUGGCGAAGGCGGAUCUCUGGGCCUUACCUGACGCUCAGGCGCGAAAGCUAGGGGAGCGAACAGGAUUAGAUACCCUGGUAGUCCUAGCCGUAAACGUUGGGUGCUAGGUGUGGGCGGAUAUCGACCCCGUCCGUGCCGAAGCUAACGCAUUAAGCACCCCGCCUGGGGAGUACGG